ACAGGCCCUAGGUCACCAGCAAGGUGGUCAAUGCUUUGAGGUGAUUGUGUCUGGGAUUGGGGUGGUGGCAGGACCCGAGGAGGGCUGGAUCCUGGCUAUCCUUGGAAGGCAUUGCCAACAGGAUUUGAUGAAGGCUUGGGUAUGCAGAGAGGGGAGGAAUGUAAGAUGAGCCUAGAUACUGGCUGGAGCCAGUGAAGGAAGUUGCCCUGUGCUGAUGUGAAGAAGAUUCCGGAAUGAGUAGGUAGGAGUGCUGUAUGAUGUCAUGUGUUCUGCUGCCCUGUUGCUUUCUGACAUCUCUGCCUUCUCUCUGAAACCCAUAAGGAUGCAUGUCCAUCUCAUUUGUGUGGUCCUAGAGUCUUGAACAGUACCUAGCACUUAGUGGGGAUUUGAUUCAUGUUUGUUGACUGUGUUUUAAGUGAGCAAAAAUGCUCCCUGAAGGUUUGCUUCAGAGCAGAGUGGUUACACCAAUUCCUGUCCAGGAAUUGACCUGUGCUCCAGCCAUGGCCAGGACUCAUGCGGAGGGAAUCUCCCAGAGCCUCGUGAAGCCCUUCUCCCUGUCCCAGGCUUUUGUUGGCAGCCUCCUCCUUUGAGGAGGUGCCUGCUGCAUCUGUCACUGCAGCCCUGGCUCUGGAGUGGGCGGUGGCAGCCUGAGGAACCCAUUUAUCUCCUGCAGGCUGGAAGUGUGCUAUGAGGUUCCUGGCAGAGCAAGACUCCAUCUCCCGGCCUCCUCCAUCCGUCUCCCCGUGUGCCUCUGUUUUGAAUCAUUUUUGCAUUCAAUUUAAGAAGAGAAAGAAGAGGCUGAGAGGAAGGAAGGAGGGACUCCAGCAGCUCUGUCACCGUGCCGUCAUCCUCCACGGAGACCACUUUCACCGGGACGGCCACCGUCUUCCCCGUGAGGAUGGCUGUGUUCAGGAUUUCUGCCUCCUGGAAGACCAAACACACCCUUCCAUCACAUCCCCUCCUGAGACGGCCCGGCCCCUGGGCUUUACAGAUGGCACAGAGAGGUUUUGUCACUUGCCCAGGGUCACCCAGCUAGAAAUUAAUGAAGGCAGGAUCUGAACCCGGGAAGUCCAGCUCCCGAGUCCAUGCAUCAGCUAACUCAAAUAGGUCUAAACGUGGACAUGACGACGGUAGCUUAAGCCGCUGAUGGAUGGCCAGAGGGGCCUGGUGUUGUGAAAGAAGCUUAGAUGAGCAGCACGGCACCCCCAGUGUGAGUGCACCCAUGCUCAUCCUCAGUUACUCCUCUAGAAUUCUUGUGAUUUUUUAACUGGUUGGGGACAGAGAGAUUAUAGGAGCCCAUUUUUCAGAUAGAGAAAACUGAGCCUCAAGACCCGGGUGAGGAUCGAAAGGAACAAGUGGUACUCUGGAAAAAAGUGGAACAAUGCUGUUUAACUUGCUGGCCGAAACUGGCUCAUCACUAAGGAGAGAGACAGACGAGGGAGCAGUGUGGCCACUUCUGACAUCAGUCUCAGGGAACACAAUUUCUCACAUUCGUGGUAAAAAGUAAAGAGCAUCUCCACUCUAACGAUAAAAAUCAAAAGGCCUUUCAUGUUUUUGCACAUUCAGGUUAAUAUAAUGAGAAAUGAUGCUGGGAAUGACUGAUGAGCAGCUGUAAGCCCAUAUGUCUGGGGUGUUGCCUUUUUCUCUGAAUAGCAUACGUGUUUCUGCCCACCAAGAUCUCAGUGGGGCUGAGUGACUGAGCCUUCAGGCUUGGUAUUUCCCUGCCUCCUCUGCGUAUUCCCAAUUCUUUGACGUCAAGAAUUUUCUCUUUUGCACAGCUUUGCCUUUUCCAGGAGGUGAAUGGUACGGGGAUGACUCACAAAAGUCUUCAGAUAAGAGGAGGACAAAAGAGACCCUUGUUCAGUGGCAGAAGUACCUGCAAAGCCUUAGCUUUGCUUGAGGUAUGACCUACAGCUGCUCUGAUUUUCGGACCCCAGAAAACCCUUGAAAGCUCAGCUUCCUUAUUGUUUUGUGUUCACCUUAUCACAGCACCUCAGAGCCUAGGAAAUAAAGGCACAGACUCUCUUUAGAAAA